rnacentral:lncRNA from 1 species
CUUUGGGGACCAGCUCUCGGGAAGAAAGGACUGCAGGAUGGAGGAGGGUUUUGACUUGCCCUGGUGUGUGUGUGUAAACUGGGAUCCAGAGUUUGACAGCAGAGGAGAGACUUCUGGUGUGAAGAGCAGAGCGAUCCUGGUCCCCUAGGGAGUACACUUGAUAAGCAAGAGACCAGGUACAGAUUCUUUCAGAUCUUACAGUUCUCAAAGAGCAAGCAAAUGUCCUCUUUCCAAGCCUCACAUUUAGACUGACUGCUGGCAGAUAGAAAACUUCUUGAAGGAGGCCUCGGCUUUGAAGGUUUGUUGUAAGACCGUAACACCUAACUCAGGGGUGGAAGUGGGUGCUCUGCCUUAGCCUUCCCAUGGUUACACCAAGAGGAUCUGGACGACCACUGCUCCUGAGAGGCCAAUGUUUCUACUUCGUGGCUUUAACCAGUGUGCUCUGGCUGCCAUCUGCACAGACCUGAGAGUCUUUUCUUCCACAGAGGUUUCACCUUCAACUGCCUACAGCAUUUGGUCUCUUCUGGAGGAAUUUAAGAGGGCCGUACCAGCAGCACAUCAAGGAUCACAGCCUAGGGGUCUAAAAGGAGCUACAGCUGCCGGCCUACUCCACAGCCACAGCAGCGCAGGAUCCAAGCCGAGUCUGCGACGUACACCACAUCUCACGGCAACUAAAGAUCCUUAAUCCACAUAGCGAGGCCAGGGAUCGAACUCUCGACCUCAUGGUUCCUAGUCAGAUUCGUUUCCACUUCACCACAAUGGGAACUCCAAGGAUCCUAAACUUCGUGAAGGCAGAAUGCUCGCUUAACUCAUUUCUGUAUUCGUCCCACAAAUUUUAUUGAGCUUUGUAAGUGCACAAAAAGGAGUUGUUAACAAAUAAAUGAUGAGCAGAGUGAAUUCACCUAGACCUAAGGAGAUGGGGCUUCCAUGAGGGCAGGGAUGAGGUGCUCUAUCUCCAUUAAUCUGAGGUGAGGAUGUGGGCAGGGAAUCCCCAUCAGCUGCAGAGAUGGCUGCAAAGUGGUGAGAAUGGGCUGACAGACCAAACGUUGCAAGUUCUGUAGAGGACUGUCACCAACCUUUGGAGAUUCCAGCUUUAGAUAAUUUUUUCUCAUGAUAUUCAUCAAAUAUUCAUUAUUGGGAGUAGAAAAUUUCCCAGUCUCUGGGGCCAUCUUUUUAUGUACUAAGAGCCCUGUUUCUGAAUGGAACUCUCUCACCUCUGGCCCCACCCUAUUAUUAAGGGUUGGCUAGAAUCCAUGUGUCCUUUGGACUAGGAAGCUGCAUAACCGAUGGUAAAUGCCUCCCCCUUUUGUCACCCCAGCAGUUCCAGGCUGAGUCAUUUUCUAAAUAAGCCACUUGUGGUUUUUGGUCUGACAUCACAUGUGGAAGACUGAGUAAUUUUUUAAGAACCAGAAUUAUAGUCGAUCAGAAUAAGAUACAUUGUGUACAUUACUCAUGGUUCUAGGACAAGGGGUCAACGCUGGUAACAAGUACCCUAAGCUUCUCCUACCCCUCCUUUCCCUGGGGCUGAGGGACAGGGAGAAGGCCAAGGAAGGAGGUGGGGAUGGAUAUGAAGAAUUUUUGUGUGCAUCUCUAAUUUUGUUAAUACAUUAUGUACAGUAAAAUUAUAUCUUGUUGCCACUUCCAGAUUAAAUAAAAGUAAUAUAGCAAAGUAGGUAAGGCCUGGGGGCUCUGCUGCUUGGGUUCAAAUCCCAGCUUCACCACAUACCAGUUGGGCAAGUUACUGAUUCUUGAUUCGCCUGCAUUUCCUCAUUUAUAAAAUAAUAGUAUCUAUGAUGUAGGGUUGUUGUCAGGAAUAAAUGAAUUGAUAUAUGUUGAGUGCUUAGAAUUGUCUGGAACUUAGUAAGCACUAUGGAAAUAUGACUAAAUAUUUCUGUGAGUCCACCACAACGUUUAUGCUCAUAUUAAAUGUUCAAUAAAUGGUUCUUGAU